UGCAGAUGUUAAUUUGUUAGACAAACGAAAUUAGGUCAAGGAUUGUUUACAUUAUUGAAUUUACAGGUAAACUCGGCCCUAUACCAACUCGGGACAGGUCAACUCGGUCCUCUAUUAAAACCAUAUAUUAGGAUAUAGAUUGUUUAGAUUGUUUAUUUAAUAACAUAUUGUUUGAAAUUAUCUUUAAGAUAAAUAAUUAUCUUAAGAAGAGAUAUCAAGACAAUAUAUGUUGUAUCAUAGUUUGGAGACCUUUCUGUUGAAAAUGUGUCAGGGUUAAAUCGUAUACAUAUACAUGCACAGUGCGUUAACUGGAGUGCGGGUAUUAGUUACCCGCACUCCAGAGCAUGCCCAUUGAUUGGCUCAUUUUUGCUGGGGUUUACAUAUUGUGACGGCAGAGAAAGGGAAAGCGACAGAAAUGUCAUAUUCAGAUGUUCGUUCAUUGGUUCAUUUUUGCCGGGGUUUCAUAUUGUGACAGCAGGGAACGUGCUUUUAUGUUUGACUAUGAUACAAAAGAGAAAGAACACCAAAACACUCGGCAAUCUGAUUAAUACUCGGGGGCUACGCCCCCUCGUACAAAUCAGAUAGCCUCGUGUUUCGGUGCUCUUUCUAUUACUUAAACACUGUUAAAUAUUAAUCAAUAAAUAGAGUUUUUAGAUUGAAUUUUUGUGACAAUGAAUUUUAUUGAAUUUAAUACUGUUUGUUUUUUAAUAUGACAAAUGCCUUUUUAACGAUAUUUUUUACAAAAAAUCUGGAGUAGCAUAAAAUGCGUUUAAAUUGUAAAUUCUUUCUUUCUCUACAAAUUCACAUACUUUUCAAUAUCCUUGAGUAGAUGUCUGUUAGUGUGAAAAUGUUAAACCAUGAAAGUUAUGAUGAAAACAUAUCAAAAGUAAGAAAAGUAAUCAUUAUCAGUAAUAUGUAAUUAUGGGCCGAGUUGACCCGUGCUGAGUUGGAAUAGGGCCGAGCUGUCUCAAGGGCCAAGUACGUUUAAGGGCCGAUCUGACCCUGAUUCGAAUUUACAGUGUUGACUGUUGUGUAGGAUUUGCUUUUUCAUUUCUAUUGUAUAUAGACUAUCGAUUAACAUAGAAAUAAGUUUAUAAUAUAUUAUAUUUAACUGUUGUGUACAAUUGAUAUUCGAUGUCAUGGCCCUCUUGAUUUUUAUUUGGCGAGGUCCGAGAACAGGCAGCCUUUCGCACAGACUGCAAUUUGCAGUUGGUAUAGUAAUUUUUAGUGUUUGAUGAUCGAAGAUUUUUUCCUUCUGAAAAUCAUGGACUUGAAUAAUUCAAAUCUGUGUGAAAGCGCAAAGAGAAAGAGACUGAAAAUUAAUUUAUUAUUUCUAUGGACAAUAUUGAUUGUAAUAAAUUUGUAAUAAAACAUGUGGGUCAAUUUCCAGCAGUAAUUGAAUCAUGACAAAGUAUUUUUAAUAAUUUUAUUUAACUUGUGGCUACUUGAAAAUUUCACGCUGGAUAUUUGCUUACCAUUACAUUUUGCAUAAGAGCUCUAUGAUUGACAUUAAAGUCCACGGGCCAAUUCAUUUCUGAUAUAUCUAUAAUCUUUCCGAUAUCUUGUUAUAAUAUAAAUGACUGAACAUCAUUGUAGAAUUAUAAGGAAAAAAUAUAUAUAUGUUCAUUCUUUGUAAAAAUGUUAGAAGACUUGCAAGUUACCGACUUUAUCAUUGCAUUUAUUUAUUAUUGAAAAAAUGCUGAACAGCUAGUCUCAACAGUGUUUAUAGGCUAGAAUUUUCAGUUUGCAUUAGGGCCAAAAUUAUUAAAUAUAUUGUUAGUCAUGACGGCUUUCCCAUUGCUGUCAUCAAACUUUAACCUUGUUCAUAACUUUUUCAGAUCUUGGUGUAUUGUCUUCAUACUUGGCCACAACAACCCUUCAAAAAAACCAGACUAAACUAAAUUAACUUGACCACCAUAUUAACAUUCAAGAAGUUGGGCCUACAUGUCAGAUUUAUGAAUGUGAACAGCAGGAUAUCGAUUUUAAGGAUGCUUUAAGGUCAAUGACAAUGAAAUCACGAGAGAUAAAGGCUAAAAUGUGAGACUGUCAAUCUGACUAACCUUGAAGUGAACAAAUGGAAAAAAUGUUUCUUUCAAUAGCAUGGGCUUUUAAGGAAGAGGAAACAGAGGCGCUUAUAUGAUAGAACAGUAAAAGCAGGAGUGAUAAGGAAAGAUACAUGUAGAUGUGUCUUCAUGUCGGAAACACUAAAGAAAUAGAAAUAUUGUGGUUUUAUAAAACUUAAAAGAAAUUGGAAUAUCAGGAGACUGCCUGCCCUUUGCAAUGUUGGAUAAUGAGUUCUUAGAUGUGAUGUCGAAAGCCUCAUGAAUAUAGUACCAUGACUUAAUCUAAUUAGAAAAAGAAAUGACAUUGAGGAGAAAACUAGUCACCAGUCUUUCACCAAGAACUAGAGAUAACUUUCCAAUAUUCGAAAUAUCAUAAUAUGUAUAGAACUUUAUUGAGCCACCAGUUUUUCACCAGGAAAAUAAGAUCACUUAACUAUUUUUAGCUCACCUGUCACAAAGUGACAGGGUGAGCUUUUUUGAUCGCUUUUCGUCUGGCGUCCACUUUAAAUGACAUCUCCUCAUAAACCACUAAGCCAAUUUCAUCCAAACUUCACAGGAAUGUUUCUUUGGUGGUCACCUCUAAAUAUUGUUCAUAGAACGCUGGUUGCCAUGGCAACCAAAAGAAAAAAACUUAAAGUAUCUUCUUUUAAAGAACCCAAAGAGCUAGAGCUUAGACAAAGUAUCUUCUUUUAAAGGUAUGAAACAUCUUCUAGUGAGUGUCUACCAAGUUUGCUCAAAUAAAAGCCCUUGGGGUCAAAAUUGGCCCCGCCCCAGGGGGUCAUUGAAUUUCCCUAUAUGCAUAUAGUAAAAACUUAAAAAUCUUCUUUUAAAGAACCAAAAUAGCUAGAGUUUAGGUAUUAAGCAUGAAACAUCUUCUUGUAAGUGUCUACAAAGUUUGUUCAGAUAAAAGCCCUGGGGUCAAAAUUGGCCCCUCCCCGGGGGUCAUUGAUUUUCCUUAUAUGUGUAUAGCAAAAACUUAAAAACCUUCUUUGAAAAAACCUAAAUAGCUAGAGUUUAGAUAUUAAGCAUGAAACAUCUUCUGGUAAGUGUGUACAAGGUUUGUUCAAAUAAAAGCCCUGGGGUCAAAACUGGCCCCGCCCCAGGGGUUUCAUUGUUUUUAACUAUUUGUGUAUAGUAAAAACUUAAAAAAUCUUCUUUUAAAAAACCCAAUGAGCUAGAGCCUAGAUGUUUAGCAUGAAACAUCUUAUGGUGUCGACCAAGUUUUCUCAAAUUUAAGCCCUUGUAUAAAAAUUGGCCAUGCCGGGGUGGGGGGUGGUGCAGAGGUCUUUGUUUUACAUUAUAUGUGUGUAGUAAAAACUUAACAUCAUGAAACAUCUUCUAACGGGUGUCUUACAAGUUUGGUCAAAUAAAAGCCCUGGGGUUGAAACUGGCCCCGCUCCAGGGGCCUAUAUACACAUGGCCCUCUUGUUCAACAAUCUUGUUGAAAUAUGUAUGAACAAAUCUUUAUCAACUUCAAGCUUUUAUUGAAGGAAUUUGAAAUAACUUGGCAGAAAUGAUUGUUAUAAUAAGACAAUGAGUCAUGUCAACAACCAGACCCCUACCUCCAGGGUCAAGGUCGCACUUGCUCAUUCAAGGUCAACUUGUCUAUUUGAGAGUAUAUCUCGUGUCCGGUCUUCCCUAUCUCUAAAGGGAUUUUGUAAAUUCUUGCCACAAUUGCUCACAAUAAUGAGAAGAUGUGUCAUGCUCAACAACAGGUCACCUGCCUCCAAGGUCAAGGUCACACUUGGAGGUCAAAUAUUAGCAUAGCCUGUUACAGGGUAUAUUUCGUGUCCGGUCCAUAACUUUGUCAUUUAUUGAAGGAAUUUGAAAUAACUUGGCACAAAUGUUUGUUAUAAUAAGACGAUGAUGUGCAACAACCAGACCCUUACCUUCAGGGUCAAGGUCACACUUGCUCAUUCAAGGUCAACAUUGUCCAUUUGAGGGUAUAUCUCGUGUCCAGUCUAUACCUUUCUUAUCUUUGAAAGGAUUUUGUAAAUACUUGCCGCAAUUGUUCACAACAAUGAGAUGAUGUGUUAUGCGCAACAAUCGGUCACCAACCUACAAGGUCAAGGUCACACUUGGAGGUCUAAGAUUAACAUAGCCUGUUAUAGGGUAUUUUUUUGUCCGGUCCAUAACUUUUUUGUAUAUCAAAGGAUUUUGAAAACACUUGGCACAAAUAUUCACUAUAAUAAGACAAUGUGUCAAGCGCAACACCUGCAUCCCUACCUCCAAGGUCAGGGUCACAUUUCGAGGUAAAAAAUUAACAUAGUCUUUUAAAGGGUAUAUAUUGUGUCCAAUGUAGAACUUCUUCAUAGUUCAAGGGAUUUUGAAAUAACUUGGCACAAAUAGUCACAAUAAUAAGACGAUAUGUCAAUUACAACACCUGCACCCCUGCCUCCAAGGUCAAGGUCACACUUAGAGGUAUAAAGGUAACAAAGUCUGUUAUAUGGUAUAUUUUAUGCCCCGUCCAUAACUUCUUCAUAGAUGAAGGGAUUUGGAAAAUACUUGGCACAAAUAGUCACAAUGAUAAGAUGAUAUGUCAUGCACAACACCUGCACCCCUACCUCCAAGGUCAAGGUCACACUUAGAGGUCAAAGCAGGGAUUUUUUCCAGGAUUUUGGGAACAUAACCCAUACCCAUGCAACUGGGAAUUUCAGCAAUAUUUUGUUAAAAUUGGGAAAAAAUGUAUGACUGAAAGUUUGCAGUGAUUAAAUGUAUGCAAGCAAUCACUGCCUAGGAUGGCUUCUUCAAACAUUUAAACACUAUUACAGUAAAGAAGCCCUUAUUUUCAAAGAUUUUAGAAUUCUUUAUUCAAUAUUUAUAUUUUUGUAACUUUCAAUUGGGAAUAUUUUCCUUUGGAUUGGGAAAAUAAUAUACUAUUUUCAAUUGGGAAUAUGUCCCAAUAACGGCUAUAAAAUAAGCCAAAAAAUCCCUGCAAAGCUUAACAUGAUAUAUUUUGAAAUUUCAUUUUAUUUCUUUAAUAAAUUUAUUGUUGCAUUUGCAGAUCCAGCAUUGAUCAUAAUUUUGGACUGAAAAUCCUUAGAUCCCUGCCUCAAUCUUUUGAAAUAGCACAAUUUUUUGCUUCAUAUAAAACUUCCCUGAGGCGGGGGACGUUGGUAUCUCUGUUACAAAUUCUUGUUUAUUUUACCAACAAGUGUUCACUUUCAAACUUUUGCUCAUUGUAUUUUUUGUACUACCUUUUGUAUAAUGUUGUAUUUUAUUUAUGUUCUUAUUCUAAGAUUAGCAUGGCCAACUCAUGAAAGUCCAAAUGAUGGUCAACUUUUUUUAUGUUUUUUUUGUUGUUUUUUUUUAACAUUAUUUACUUUAUUUUUACAGUGUUCCUCUGAAUCAUACAUUCUGUUUUAGUUAAACAUGCACUUCUUGUUACUUAUUUUCCCAUACUUCAUAUUACAUUGAUCACGGUUUGAUGUGAUGGCUCAUAAAAUUAUAACAAUAUCAUUUCUUUGUACUUUACCUAGUAAAAUAUGAAAACAAAUGCUCUUGUAAGCCAACCAAUAAGAUUUGUACACCUUUUAAGGAUUCAAUUUAUAACUGGUAUAUUCAACAAUAUAUCAAAACACAGGUCAAGUAUGAUUUCAGUUACAUUCCACAAAAUUUAUACAACAUUGUGCCUUCCUUACCAAAUCAUAUGCAAAAAAUUGAUUUAUAACUGAUAAUAUUUGAAUGCUUUUGAAAUCUAUAAAGAUUUUUCAUAUAACUCUGGACAAAAUUUAACAGUCUUUAGUGAGUUGGAGUGUAGUAUGAAAAAUCAGGUGUCUGUUGCAAAGAUCAAGGUCACUACUUUAGAUCAAAAGUCAAAUAAUAACUUAAAACAUGAGAGUAUAUUUCUAUAUACAUGGCUGGAUUUUCAUAACAUUUAUCACAAAUGCUCACUUAUGUAUACAUCUUUCUCCCCAAUCUGAAGCUUUAAGGUUCAGUUCUGAAUAAUGGCAACAGGCUUGAUAUAUGCUGCCAGUGGGCUUGUCUAAUUAUGUACAUAUUUUGAUUACCCACUCAAUAUAAGCAUUGUUCUUAACGCAGGCAUUCAAGUCCUAUGGGCACAUUUCUACUUUUGACUAUAUUUUGUUGUAUAAUGUCAGUCUUGUAUGUAAAAAAUCCUUAAAACAGCACCUCCUAUAUUACUGGCCGUUUGCAUUAAAGCUUCUUUCAUUCAGAUUGUUAUAACUUGUAUCACCUCAAUAUGUACCAAUAAUUUAAAGGGACUCACUCCAUUGAGGUUUAAAAGCCUAAAACAUAACAUUUGAAUUUCUACAGAAAUGAGCCGGGGCACUUGAUACAGAAAUAUAUGCACAGAUAGUGAAGAAAUAUACUUUGAAAUGAAUUGAAAAUCAAUUUUUUUAUGCUUUUCUCAGCCUGAUCUGCGUGAUAUGUGUUUAAACGCUUUCAUUUUGGGUAAUUUUUUUACAAUUUGAAUAAUUAUUCUUGAAAAACGAAGUGCGCAAAUGAUCUGAAAUUUUUCUCAAAGAGUAGUGGUCAAAACAUACAUCAAGUGGUACAUUAAUCUAGAAAAAUAAAUUUCAGUCUCAUCAUGUCAAAAAACCUCAGUGGAGUUCCUUUUACACAUUUUAUCUGACAAACUAAAUUUCAUUAUCUCCAUAUAUUUAAUCAUUUAUUUUUUAUAUUACAUAUAUUUUUACUUUUAUGCAAGUUUUGACAAUAAAAGUUUAUUUUAAAUCA